UACGUAGGCAGCGAGCGUUGUUCGGAGUUACUGGGCGUAAAGGGUGUGUAGGCGGUUGUUUAAGUUUGGUGUGAAAUCUCCCGGCUCAACUGGGAGGGUGCGCCGAAUACUGAAUGACUUGGAGUGCGGGAGAGGAAAGUGGAAUUCCUGGUGUAGCGGUGAAAUGCGUAGAUAUCAGGAGGAACACCGGUGGUGUAGACGGCUUUCUGGACCGUAACUGACGCUGAGACACGAAAGCGUGGGUAGCGAACAGG
rnacentral:rRNA from 1 species